rnacentral:lncRNA from 1 species
GAAGUAUUGUAAACCUUUAUCCCAUGGAAUCAGCAGAAGCCUUAGAAUUACAAGAUUCUGCACUGAAGGAUGUUUACCUUUUAAUAACAAAAACAGACUCCUCCUUUUUAUAUUGAAGCAUUUGUGCUUUAAAUUCCCCUGCUAUCUUUUUUCAUCCCUUGUUCCUACAGUGGUCACAUUCAGCUGGAGACGUCGCCAGGGUGUGAGGUGCAAAACGAUGUCACAUUGCAGAGUAACAGCAGUCAGUAUUCUCCAAAUGAGGUGAGUUUCCUGAAGGUA